UGCAACAGAGUCCAGGCUCACUCUGCUUGCUGCAUGACAAGCCAAUAAGUGGAGAGGAUUACUUCCAUGGCUUCUACUCUGAACAACUUCUAUCCCAUUAGAGAAAUUUAUCUGUAAUGGAAAAUGCACAAAACUACUAAGAAAAUUUUGAAAAAGGAACGAUGAAGGAAGAUUUGCCCUGCUGCAUAUCUAAAGUAUACUUUAAA